rnacentral:rRNA from 1 species
GAUGAACGCUGGCGGCGUGCCUAAUACAUGCAAGUCGAGCGAAUGGAUUAAGAGCUUGCUCUUAUGAAGUUAGCGGCGGACGGGUGAGUAACACGUGGGUAACCUGCCCAUAAGACUGGGAUAACUCCGGGAAACCGGGGCUAAUACCGGAUAACAUUUUGAACCGCAUGGUUCGAAAUUGAAAGGCGGCUUCGGCUGUCACUUAUGGAUGGACCCGCGUCGCAUUAGCUAGUUGGUGAGGUAACGGCUCACCAAUGCAACGAUGCGUAGCCGAGCUGGGAGGGUGAUCGGCCAAACUGGGACUGAGGCACGGCCCAGACUCCUACGGGAGGCAGCAGUAGGGAAUCUUCCGCAAUGGACGAAAGUCUGACGGAGCAACGCCGCGUGAGUGAUGAAGGCUUUCGGGUCGUAAAACUCUGUUGUUAGGGAAGAACAAGUGCUAGUUGAAUAAGCUGGCACCUUGACGGUACCUAACCAGAAAGCCACGGCUAACUACGUGCCAGCAGCCGCGGUAA